CUGGCUCACUGAUUUCUUCACUGGUUGCCCUGAGGAACAAAAAGAGACAUAAAGAAAACAUUAAGAAUAGAGAACAUCAGCACCAGGCUGCAAGCUGCAGAUUCCUGGAUAGCAAUGUCUCCAGUGAGUAAACUGUGAGAAAGUCAACAGAGGUCAAGAAUAAAUCUCAGCCCAGGCAUACUCUCCAGAUCCCAGCAAAGCAAGGGCAUGGACAGCUGACACUCCUCUCUCUACUUUUUCUCCCACGCCACUUCCCAUGGACCUCUGCUGUCACAAUUCCCGCUGGAUGCUACUGAAGUCCUUUUCCAAGAAAAGAGCGGAUGCUAUCAUAUUCAGACACU